rfam:Picea glauca, whole genome shotgun sequence.
ACAUGCUUACAACAUAGCGUUUAUGCAUCGGAUCCCAUUCAAACUCCAUAUUUAAGAGCGCUCGGGCUAGAGUAGUACUAGGAUGGGUGACCGCUCUGGAAGUCCUAGUAUUUUACAUGCC